AUUCCGGCGUUGAAUCCAAUUGAACCGCAGGCUUCACCCCUUGUGGUGCUCCCCCGCCAAUUCCUUUAAGUUUCAUACUUGCGUACGUACUUCCCAGGCGGCAAACUUAACGGCUUCCCUGCGGCACUGCACUGGCCAAAAGCCAGUGCAUCACCGAGUCUGCAUCGUUUACAGCUGGGACUACCCGGGUAUCUAAUCCGGUUUGCUCCCCCAGCUUUCAUCCCUCACCGUCGAACGUGUUCUGGUAGACCGCCUUCGCCACAGGUGGUCAUCAAGAGAUCAAAGGAUUUUACCCCUUCCUCCCGAGUACCGUCUGCCUCUCCCACUCCCUAGUUCUGCGGUAUUUCCGGCAGCCCAUUAGUUGAGCUAGUGGAUUUAACCGAAAACUUACAGAACCGGCUACGGAUGCUUUAGGCCCAAUAAUCCUCCUGACCACUUGAGGUGCUGGUUUUACCGCGGCGGCCGACACCAGAACUUGCCCACCCCUUAUUCGUUAGUGUUUCUAGGACUGACAAAAGGUUUCUUUAGCAGAAACCACUCGGAUUAACCUUGUCGUGCUUUCGCACAUUGCAAAGUUUUCUCGCCUGCUGCGCCCCAUAGGGCCUGGGUCCGUGUCUCAGUACCCAUCUCCGGGCUACUCCUCUCAGAGCCCGUACCUGUAAUAGUCUUGGUGGGCCAUCACCUCACCAACAAACUGAUAGGCCGCAGUCCCAUCCUAUGGCGAUAAAUCAUUUGAAACAUAAACCAUUCCAGGCAUAAUGUUCUAUCGGGCAUUAUUCUCAGUUUCCCGAGGUUAUUCCCGUCCAUAGGGUAGAUUGACUACGCGUUACUGAGCCGUCUGCCUUGUAUUGCUACAAUGACUCGCAUGGCUUAGUAUCAAUCCGAUAGCAGUCAGGUCCGGCGGGAUCAACCGGAA
rnacentral:rRNA from 1 species